AGUCAAGUAAGGAAGGGCACACGAUGGAUGCCUUGGCACUUAGAGCCGAAGAAGGGCGUAGCCAGCAACGAAACGCUCCGGUUAGUCGCUAGCAGACUCACCCGGAGAUUCCCGAAUGGGGCAACCCAACAGGAGUUAU
rnacentral:rRNA from 1 species